rnacentral:ncRNA from 1 species
AAACAAGCGACGAUGAGAAGAGUACUUGCGCACAAGCAUAACAGAGAACUCCUGAUGGUGGGAAUGGAGGAUGUAAUGGCGUGAGGAAACAAGUCUCUGAGCUGUACAAAGGAUCUUUCUGCGGAAGGUGAUGGUGUACCGGGUUCUCCCGUUAUCGAGAUAGAGUAUAACCACAUGUAUGUGUGGCGUACUUGAAAAGGUUGUUGUAGCGAUACAGCAACAAACUGGGGUGGCACCGCGAAACUUCUAAUCCGAAGUCUCGCCCCCAAG